rnacentral:sRNA from 1 species
UGGCACACGUAAAUGGGCCGUCACUCGGCC